rnacentral:rRNA from 1 species
CAAGUGCGACUGAAACUGGCAGGCUUGAGUAUGGGAGAGGGAAGUGGAAUUCCUGGUGUAGCGGUGAAAUGCGUAGAUAUUAGGAAGAACACCAGUGGCGAAGGCGGUUCUCUGGCCUACAACUGACGCUGAGGUACGAAAGCUGGGGUAGCGAACGGGAUUAGAUACCCUGGUAGUCCACGCAGUAAACGGUGAUCACUAAGUGUUGCGGGCUUUGAUGUCUGCAGUGCCGAAGCAAACGCAUUAAGUGAUCCGCCUGGGGAGUACGGCCGCAAGGUUAAAACUCAAAGGAAUUGACGGGGGCCCGCACAAGCGGUGGAGCAUGUGGUUUAAUUCGACGCAACGCGAAGAAACUUACCUGGAUUUGACAUCUGGGGGAUGCCAUGGAAACAU